GACGAACGCUGGCGGCGUGCUUAACACAUGCAAGUCGAACGGAAAGGCCCUGCUUUUGUGUGGUGCUCGAGUGGCGAACGGGUGAGUAACACGUGAGUAACCUGCCCUUGACUUUGGGAUAACUUCAGGAAACUGGGGCUAAUACCGGAUAGGAGCUCCUGCUGCAUGGUGGGGGUUGGAAAGUUUCGGCGGUUGGGGCUGGACGCGCGGCUUAUCAGCUUGUUGGUGGGGUAGUGGCUUACCAAGGGUUUGGCGGGUAGCCGGCAUGGGAGGGUGACCGGCCACAAUGGGACUGAGAUACGGACCAGACUGCUACGGGAGGCAGCAGGGGGGAAUAUUGCACAACGGGCGGAAGCCUGAUGAAGAAACGCCGGGUGCGGGAUGAAGGCCUUCGGGUUGUAAACCGCUUUAGCCUGUGACGAAGCGGGAGUGACGGUAAUGGGUAAAGAAGCACCGGCUAACUACGUG
rnacentral:rRNA from 1 species